UCUAUUCCAAUGUCAUCCGCUCAUCUACUAGAACCUUCUCAGCUGUAUUGUUACAUAAUUUGUCUUCAUGGAUUGUUCUAUCUAGGAAAUCAUCAUGUUUCGCAUUCCUUGGAAAGGCAUAACCUGGAACGACAUUUUUCACUGUGCAGAUGAUUUGUCUCCCCCAUAUCUGGUAAGUUACAUAGCUCUCUCUCGAUUUGACAGUCCCGUACCCUUCUUACUUCCAGUUGUAGUUUCAUCAGAGUUCAAGACAGGCAUUGACUGAACAGACUGGGUACCAUUGCUCCCAUAAACUUCCACAACUGCAUCAUCUCAGGCUUCUUUUGUAGUUUGUGACAAACCAUCUGUUGAGUAUGAUAGAAGGAACUAUUUGGUAAAUUCCUCCCUAGAAUGUCUUACAAAUGUGUCAUCAUCAUCAUUUUAGCCUUUUCUCAAUUAAUUGGGGUCGGCUGUCUUUCAAAUGUGCGAUCGACAAAAUUCUUUUCCUCUUCAUUUUCAAGGGUUUUUCAAAUUCAUUAACAACCACUAUUGCUUCUAUCAAAUUCUGGAAUCUAGUUCAACAAUAACCUGCUCUGGAUCAUUAACAGCCAAUAGACCUCAAACCAAGGCUUGUAUACUCAAGUUCAAAUUUGAAGAGCCAUUCAACAAUUCUUUUGACCUAUUGAGUUGGAUGGUAUCUAUGCCCCAAUUUCUAUUCUCAGAUUUGCAAUGAAUAAAACUUGGUAAUCUAUUCAGAUUUUUGCUCCAGCUCUCUCGUUAAAUUGAUGCUCCUAUUGACUUACUAUCAACAAUUUCCAAUUUUAGAUAUAGUCUUUACCAUAACAUGCAUGUUCCCUUUAUGCUUCAAUGCUUGACAAUCAUGCAAUACUGUGAUUUUUGAUUCGAGGUCGCACUCUCCCUUUCUGAACUGUACAUCUUAUAUAUGAGGAAGCAAAUGCUCACAUAAACCUAUUCAAAUGGAUUUCCGAAAAUGGAUGCUUAUUUUGAUAAAAAGUUAGCUGUAAUGCUUUGCAUAUGUUUUUAGUAUCUUUAUGUGGCCUAUGCUAUUGUCAUAUGAUUGCUAUACUCUAGUUCAAAAUGGAAAAGGCGAUGGUAAAUGGCAUUGGGCAAUAAUAUUGGAUGGGGUUAUAGAAAAUGAAUACAAUAAAAAAAUACUCACAGAGGUCAGAAUACAUACUUAAUAGAAAUAAGGGUAAUAAUAUGCUCUUUUGAAACUUGAGCAGAAUUUUCUGAUGGACUGCAGUAUAGGUUAGAAUGGCCGAACAUGAAAUAUAUCUAGUUUGCAGGAUGCUCCAAUCUAGAGCUUCUGUGUGAGAACUAAUGUCAGAAAUUUUCAAACCAAACUAAUCCUAGUGCAUUUUUAAAUUUUUCUUGAACUGCUGUAGUAAACUUCUGCUACCAGUAAUGUUGGCCAAACUUCAACUUUUGAAACGUCAGUAGGUCUUUUAAAGUGGUGCCCACUGGAAUGUGAAUCAUUCUUCUUUAUAUGAUAUUUUAUUAACAUAUGUUCUCACUUCUGGUAUUUGUUUAGUGUUUUUUAUGACAUUUUACUUUUUGAUUGGCUUUAUGCCUGAUUUAACACUUAAUUGUCACCUGGUGUGCAUUGGUGAGUAGAGGAGCAUCUAGUCUCCCACAAAAAAGAUUCCCUUUUUGGGUUGGAUUUGAGGGGCUGAAUUCUGAAGAGUUAUGGAUGAACUGGUCGACAAAAAAGUUUCCCUUUUUAGGUUUGGAUUCGAGCGACUGGAUUCUAGAGAGUUAUGGAUGAACCGGUUAAAAUGAGGUUAACUCAGUGACAACAAAAGGUGGGGAGGGAUCGAAGGGGUUAGGAGAGUGCUCCUAGAUUGUUAUCUGCUCAGACUAUUGGUACAUUCACAUGGUUGAAUUAUUUAUGGCAAUAUUUAUUCUUGUAUU
rnacentral:lncRNA from 1 species